rnacentral:lncRNA from 1 species
GUUUAACAUAGGACCCUAUGGGAAAUGCAUACAAAUGACUUAUUUUAGAGAACCACUGAAUGGAAUGAAACCUAACAUAGCAUGAAUGUUCCUUAUGGGGUGCUGACCAUGUGUUGUUACUUUGUUGCUGAUCCAUCAUCCAAGAUGGCCGCCAGCCGGGGACUUAGUUUAACAUAGGACCCUAUGGGAAAUGCAUACAAAUGACUUCUUUUGGAGAAGCACUGAAUGGAAUAAAACCAAACAUAUUAUGAAU